rnacentral:rRNA from 1 species
UACGUAGGCAGCGAGCGUUGUUCGGAGUUACUGGGCGUAAAGAGUGCGUAGGCGGUUUUCUAAGUUUGGUGUGAAAUCUCCCGGCUCAACUGGGAGGGUGCGCCGAAGACUGGAAGGCUUGAGUAUGGGAGAGGUAAGCGGAAUUCCUGGUGUAGCGGUGAAAUGCGCAGAUAUCAGGAGGAAUACCAGCGGCGAAGGCGGCGCUCUGGGCCGGUACUGACGCUGAGGAGCGAAAGCGUGGGGAGCAAACAGG